CCUACGGGAGGCAGCAGUGGGGAAUUUUGGACAAUGGGGGCAACCCUGAUCCAGCAAUGCCGCGUGAGUGAAGAAGGCCUUCGGGUUGUAAAGCUCUUUUGUCAGGGAAGAAACACCGGCUCUAACACAGUCCGGGAAUGACGGUACCUGAAGAAUAAGCACCGGCUAACUACGUGCCAGCAGCCGCGGUAAUACGUAGGGUGCGAGCGUUAAUCGGAAUUACUGGGCGUAAAGCGUGCGCAGGCGGUUAUACAAGACAGGCGUGAAAUCCCCGGGCUUAACCUGGGAAUGGCGCCUGUGACUGUAUAGCUAGAGUGUGUCAGAGGGGGGUAGAAUUCCACGUGUAGCAGUGAAAUGCGUAGAUAUGUGGAGGAAUACCAAUGGCGAAGGCAGCCCCCUGGGAUAACACUGACGCUCAUGCACGAAAGCGUGGGGAGCAAACAGGAUUAGAUACCCUGGUAGUCCACGCCCUAAACGAUGCUGACUAGUUGUUCGGGAUUUACAUCCUGAGUAACGUAGCUACGCGUGAGUACAGCCGCCGUCGGGAGGUACGGUCGCGAGAGUUAAACUACGAAGAAGUAGUAGACGNGAGAGAGCGACGACGACGACGACGGAGGAGGAGG
rnacentral:rRNA from 1 species